AAAGGAAUUGACGGGGACCCGCACAAGCGGUGGAUGAUGUGGAUUAAUUCGAUGCAACGCGAAAACCUUACCUACCCUUGACAUGUCCGGAAUCCCGAAGAGAUUUGGGGGUGCUCGCAAGAGAACCGGAACACAGGUGCUGCAUGGCUGUCGUCAGCUCGUGUCGUGAGAUGUUGGGUUAAGUCCCGCAACGAGCGCAACCCUUGUCAUUAGUUGCCAUCAUUUGGUUGGGCACUCUAAUGAGACUGCCGGUGACAAACCGGAGGAAGGUGGGGAUGACGUCAAGUCCUCAUGGCCCUUAUGGGUAGGGCUUCACACGUCAUACAAUGGUCGGUACAGAGGGUUGCCAACCCGCGAGGGGGAGCCAAUCCCACAAAGCCGGUCGUAGUCCGGAUCGCAGUCUGCAACUCGACUGCGUGAAGUCGGAAUCGCUAGUAAUCGCGGAUCAGCAUGUCGCGGUGAAUACGUUCCCGGGUCUU
rnacentral:rRNA from 1 species